GAACGCUAGCUACAGGCUUAACACAUGCAAGUCGAGGGGCAGCAUUUUAGUUUGCUUGCAAACUGAAGAUGGCGACCGGCGCACGGGUGAGUAACACGUAUCCAACCUGCCGAUAACUCCGGAAUAGCCUUUCGAAAGAAAGAUUAAUACCGGAUAGUAUACGAAUAUCGCAUGAUAUUUUUAUUAAAGAAUUUCGGUUAUCGAUGGGGAUGCGUUCCAUUAGUUUGUUGGCGGGGUAACGGCCCACCAAGACUACGAUGGAUAGGGGUUCUGAGAGGAAGGUCCCCCACAUUGGAACUGAGACACGGUCCAAACUCCUACGGGAGGCAGCAGUGAGGAAUAUUGGUCAAUGGGCGAGAGCCUGAACCAGCCAAGUAGCGUGAAGGAUGAAGGCUCUAUGGGUCGUAAACUUCUUUUAUAUGGGAAUAAAGUUUUCCACGUGUGGAAUUUUGUAUGUACCAUAUGAAUAAGGAUCGGCUAACUCCGUGCCAGCAGCCGCGGUAAUACGGAGGAUCCGAGCGUUAUCCGGAUUUAUUGGGUUUAAAGGGAGCGUAGGUGGAUUGUUAAGUCAGUUGUGAAAGUUUGCGGCUCAACCGUAAAAUUGCAGUUGAAACUGGGAGUCUUGAGUACAGUAGAGGUGGGCGGAAUUCGUGGUGUAGCGGUGAAAUGCUUAGAUAUCACGAAGAACUCCGAUUGCGAAGGCAGCUCACUAGACUGUCACUGACACUGAUGCUCGAAAGUGUGGGUAUCAAACAGGAUUAGAUACCCUGGUAGUCCACACAGUAAACGAUGAAUACUCGCUGUUUGCGAUAUACAGUAAGCGGCCAAGCGAAAGCAUUAAGUAUUCCACCUGGGGAGUACGCCGGCAACGGUGAAACUCAAAGGAAUUGACGGGGGCCCGCACAAGCGGAGGAACAUGUGGUUUAAUUCGAUGAUACGCGAGGAACCUUACCCGGGCUUAAAUUGCAACAGAAUAUAUUGGAAACAGUAUAGCCGUAAGGCUGUUGUGAAGGUGCUGCAUGGUUGUCGUCAGCUCGUGCCGUGAGGUGUCGGCUUAAGUGCCAUAACGAGCGCAACCCUUAUCUUUAGUUACUAACAGGUCAUGCUGAGGACUCUAGAGAGACUGCCGUCGUAAGAUGUGAGGAAGGUGGGGAUGACGUCAAAUCAGCACGGCCCUUACGUCCGGGGCUACACACGUGUUACAAUGGGGGGUACAGAAGGCGGCUACCUGGUGACAGGAUGCUAAUCCCAAAAACCUCUCUCAGUUCGGAUCGAAGUCUGCAACCCGACUUCGUGAAGCUGGAUUCGCUAGUAAUCGCGCAUCAGCCAUGGCGCGGUGAAUACGUUCCCGGGCCUUGUACACACCGCCCGUCAAGCCAUGAAAGCCGGGGGUACCUGAAGUACGUAACCGCAAGGAGCGUCCUAGGGUAAAACUGGUAAUA
rnacentral:rRNA from 1 species